rnacentral:rRNA from 1 species
AGUGAACGCUGGCGGUAGGCCUAACACAUGCAAGUCGAACGGCAGCACAGUAAGAGCUUGCUCUUACGGGUGGCGAGUGGCGGACGGGUGACGAAUACAUCGGAAUCUACUUUUUCGUGGGGGAUAACGUAGGGAAACUUACGCUACUACAGCAUACGAUCUACGGGUGAAAGCAGGGGAUCUUCGGACCUUGCGCGAUUGAAUGAGCCGAUGUCGGAUUAGCUAGUUGGCGGGGUAAAGGCCCACCAAGGCGACGAUCCGUAGCUGGUCUGAGAGGAUGAUCAGCCACACUGGAACUGAGACACGGUCCAGACUCCUACGGGAGGCAGCAGUGGGGAAUAUUGGACAAUGGGCGCAAGCCUGAUCCAGCCAUACCGCGUGGGUGAAGAAGGCCUUCGGGUUGUAAAGCCCUUUUGUUGGGAAAGAAAAGCAGUAGGUUAAUACCCCGCUGUUCUGACGGUACCCAAAGAAUAAGCACCGGCUAACUUCGUG